rnacentral:rRNA from 1 species
CCUACGGGAGGCAGCAGUGAGGAAUAUUGGUCAAUGGACGAGAGUCUGAACCAGCCAAGUAGCGUGAAGGAUGACUGCCCUAUGGGUUGUAAACUUCUUUUAUAUGGGAAUAAAAUGUUCCACGUGUGGGAUUUUGUAUGUACCAUAUGAAUAAGGAUCGGCUAACUCCGUGCCAGCAGCCGCGGUAAUACGGAGGCUCCGAGCGUUAUCCGGAUUUAUUGGGUUUAAAGGGAGCGUAGGUGGAUGGUUAAGUCAGUGGUGAAAGUUUGCGGCUCAACCGUAAAAUUGCAGUUGAAACUGGCAGUCUUGAGUACAGUAGAGGUGGGCGGAAUUCGUGGUGUAGCGGUGAAAUGCUUAGAUAUCACGAAGAACUCCGAUUGCGAAGGCAGUUCACUGGACUGCAACUGACACUGAGGCUCGAAAGUGUGGGUAUCAAACAGGAUUAGAUACCCCAGUAGUC